AUUGAACGCUGGCGGCAUACUUUACACAUGCAAGUCGAACGGUAACAGGGAGCUUGCUCCGCUGACGAGUGGCGAACGGGUGAGUAAUGCGUCGGAACGUGCCGAGUAGUGGGGGAUAACGCAGCGAAAGUUGUGCUAAUACCGCAUACGUACUGAGGUAGAAAGUGGGGGACCUUCGGGCCUCACGCUAUUCGAGCGGCCGACGUCUGAUUAGCUAGUAGGUGAGGUAAAGGCUCACCUAGGCGACGAUCAGUAGCGGGUCUGAGAGGAUGGUACGCUACACUGGGACGGAGACACGGCCCAGACUCCUACGGGAGGCAGCAGGGGGGAAUUUUGGACAAUGGGCGAAAGCCUGAUCCAGCCAUGCCGCGUGUCUGAAGAAGGCCUUCGGGUUGUAAAGGACUUUUGUCGGGGAGGAAAUCCCCAGCGUUAAUACCGCUGGGGGAUGACAGUACCUGAAGAAUAAGCACCGGCUAACUACGUGCCAGCCGCCGCAGUAA
rnacentral:rRNA from 1 species